rnacentral:rRNA from 1 species
UACGUAGGGUGCGAGCGUUGUCCGGAAUUAUUGGGCGUAAAGGGCUCGUAGGCGGUUUGUCGCGUCGGGAGUGAAAACUCAGGGCUUAACCCUGAGCCUGCUUCCGAUACGGGCAGACUAGAGGUAUGCAGGGGAGAACGGAAUCCUGGUGUAGCGGUGGAAUGCGCAGAUAUCAGGAGGAACACCGAUGGAGCGAAGGCAGAUCUCUGGGCCGUAACUGGACGCUAGGAGACGAAGCAU